AUUGAACGCUGGCGGCAGGCCUAACACAUGCAAGUCGAGCGGUAGAGAGAAGCUUGCUUCUCUUGAGAGCGGCGGACGGGUGAGUAACGCGUGGGUAACCUGCCCUGUACACACGGAUAACAUACCGAAAGGUAUGCUAAUACGGGAUAAUAUGAGAGAGUCGCAUGGUUUUCUUAUCAAAGCUCCGGCGGUACAGGAUGGACCCGCGUCUGAUUAGUUAGUUGGUGAGGUAACGGCUUACCAAGGCGACGAUCAGUAGCCGACCUGAGAGGGUGAUCGGCCACAUUGGAACUGAGACACGGUCCAAACUCCUACGGGUGGCAG
rnacentral:rRNA from 1 species